rnacentral:rRNA from 1 species
UACAGAGGUCUCAAGCGUUGUUCGGAUUUACUGGGCGUAAAGCGCGCGUAGGCGGUUUUGUAAGUCGGGUGUGAAAUCCCCAAGCUUAACUUGGGAACUGCAUUCGAGACUGCAUAGCUAGAGUAUGGGAGAGGGAAGUGGAAUUUCAGGUGUAGCGGUGAAAUGCGUAGAUAUCUGAAGGAACAUCAGUGGCGAAAGCGACUUCCUGGACCAAUACUGACGCUCAUGUGCGAAAGCGUGGGGAGCAAACAGG